GUGGGGAAUAUUGGACAAUGGGCGAAAGCCUGAUCCAGCCAUGUCACGUGUGUGAAGAAGGUCUUCGGAUUGUAAAGCACUUUAAGUUGGGAGGAAGGGCAGUAAGUUAAUACCUUGCUGUUUUGACGUUACCGACAGAAUAAGCACCGGCUAACUUCGUGCCAGCAGCCGCGGUAAUACGAAGGGUGCAAGCGUUAAUCGGAAUUACUGGGCGUAAAGCGCGCGUAGGUGGUUUUGUAAGUUGGAGGUGAAAUCCCCGGGCUCAACCUGGGAACUGCCUCCAAAACUGCAUGACUAGAGUACGGUAGAGGGUAGUGGAAUUUCCUGUGUAGCGGUGAAAUGCGUAGAUAUAGGAAGGAACACCAGUGGCGAAGGCGACUACCUGGACUGAUACUGACACUGAGGUGCGAAAGCGUGGGGAGCAAACAGGAUUAGAUACCCGGGUAGUCC
rnacentral:rRNA from 1 species